GGAGGUGUGGCUCAGCGGUAGAGCACUUGCCUAGCACAUGCAAGGACCUGAGUUCGAUCAUCAGCACUACAU
rnacentral:tRNA from 1 species